rnacentral:rRNA from 1 species
GACGGGGGGGCAAGUGUUCUUCGGAAUGACUGGGCGUAAAGGGCACGUAGGCGGUGAAUCGGGUUGAAAGUGAAAGUCGCCAAAAAGUGGCGGAAUGCUCUCGAAACCAAUUCACUUGAGUGAGACAGAGGAGAGUGGAAUUUCGUGUGUAGGGGUGAAAUCCGUAGAUCUACGAAGGAACGCCAAAAGCGAAGGCAGCUCUCUGGGUCCCUACCGAUGCUGGGGUGCGAAAGCAUGGGGAGCGAACAGG